rnacentral:rRNA from 1 species
AUUGAACGCUGGCGGCAGGCCUAACACAUGCAAGUCGAGCGAGCGGCGGACGGGUGAGUAGUGUAUGGGGAUGUGCCUGAUAGAGGGGGAUAACUACUGAAACAGGUGGCUAAUACCGCAUACUACGGGAUGGAGCCAUAGGGGAUUAGCUAGUAGGUGGGGUAAAGGCUCACCUAGGCGACGAUCCCUAGCUGGUCUGAGAGGAUGAUCAGCCACACUGGGACUGAGACACGGCCCAGACUCCUACGGGAGGCAGCAGUGGGGAAUCUUGCACAAUGGGCGAAAGCCUGAUGCAGCCAUGCCGCGUGAAUGAAGAAGGCCUUAGGGUUGUAAAGUACUGUCAGCAGGGAGGCGUUACCCGCAGAAGAAGCACCGGCUAACUCCGUGCCAGCAGCCGCGGUAAUUC